CACCACCUUAACGGAAUUUGACCUUAUGUCUCCGUGCUCUCCUGGCCACUACCCACUAGUCCCACAGUGAGACAUCAGCAGUAGAUCUGCCUGCCCCCUUAUAGGGGACCCCCUGUUCGUCUCUAAAAACACACAGGAAGUCGGGCACCCGCCGCCAAAAGUCGAGACGAGCUUGCCUCGGACAGGACGAGCUCGGAUCGGACGGGACGAGCUCGGAUCGGACGGGACGAGCUCGGACAGGACGAGCUCGGAUCGGACGAGCCAGACGGCCGCUCCCGCUUCGUUGCGGAACUGUCUAAUCGGGUCAUUUCGGUGUGGUACAACGUCCUGUUGAUGUUCAUUUUUGUUUGCCAACGUUUGCUUCGUCCUCUGUCCCAUGCCAUGUCACCCUUUGACCGAAGGUUCCUAGACACCAACCGCUAGUCCACUGGAACCUCAACGGCCAGCAAUGAGACAACUGAUGGCAAAUCUUCACCAUUACAGAUGUAUGUACGUAUGUUUGUGAGCUGCUCUUAUAGCGGGAGUGUGUGAGCAAAAUACAUGGGGCAGAUUUGGGGAUAUCGGUUGUCCUACCUGAGAGGGUGCUCCAGCACACAGCAUUCCCAGUUAGGGGGAGUAAGGAAGGAAUGACGGACAGACGGUCGGAAAGAUAGACAGUUGAGGACGAGGAAGCUUUUUUUCUUCUGGCAGACGGCUCCUGAGGACAUGGCACGGAAAACCUAUUUUCAGCGUGUGCUGGGUUCACUGUGUAAAGAGGGCAGGGGCCAGGCCUCUGUUGGGGUAUUUCUGCAAUUGUUACCAGAAGAGAAAUAUUGCGUUGGCAUUACCGAGUGCCAAAGAGUGGAAAAUUGUAUAUGUAUUAAUGCAAGAUAUACUGCAAUUAGGAGUAUAUAUAUUUAGAUUCAGACAAGCUAAUUGCAAAGAUGUCGUUUUUUUAUGUUUUCAUUGCAUUAUUUGGUCUUUGUAUACACAUUUGAGGUUAUGUCUUCACAUUGCAAAACGGACUGCUAUUGAAAUGUCCUUACCUUUUGUACUUUUUUUGUUACUUACAAUUAUUAGGACAUCUGCUUUUCCUUUCCCCACAUUUGCACUUUCCUUUCCAAGGGAGAAUUGUGCCCUUUCGUACCAACUACAUCUUAACCACACUGUGCUCUUCUUUAAAACACACUUUGAAGUUCUGCAUGGGGGGAGGGGGGAUACAUAUUAGCCUGUUUGUGUUGAAAUCAUGUUGAAUGUCAGUUCAAAUAUUAAUAAGCACAGGAUGAACACGAACGAUGCAAAGAGAAACAUUUGUUUAUCAAAAUGGUAAAAGGAUUGAAAUGAUGGACAGGCUUGUGUUGACGUUGCCAAAAUCUGACCUUGGACACAAGGUGUCUCUCAAAAGAUUGACCGUGUCUGAUGAUGGAUUGGAUGAAUAUACUGGUGUUUUGAGAGAUUUGUACUAAAACCCUGAGCAAAACCAUGAGAAUGCUCUGGCGGGCAUGUACCAGGGUUCAAACACAAUGCGCCUGGAGAUAAAAUGAUCUGAACUUCCUGUUUACAUUUGACACCCUUCACCAAGUCUGUAGACGAGAUGGAAGCCCUCUGUAGCCUAGGUCCACUUGUAUUCGAAAGCAGUUUGAAAUUUAUAUUUUCUGGGCUACAAGUAAGUCGAAUGAAGGGAGAUGCAAGGCCAAAUGUAUGCUUGUUGCUAGUUAAUGGAAAGGUCUGGAUUGUUCUGCUUUUGGUACAUAGUCGUGUGUGUGUGUGUGUGUGUGUGUGUGUGUGUGUGUGUGUGUGUGUGUGUGUGUGUGUGUGUGUGUGUGUGUGUGUGUGUGUGUGUGUGUGUGUGUGUGUGAUGUCUAUGCAAACAUA